UACGUAGGGGGCAAGCGUUGUCCGGAUUUAUUGGGCGUAAAGCGCGUGUAGGCGGUUCAGUAAGUCUGCUGUGAAAGUCCAGGGCUCAACCCUGGAAUGCGGGUGGAUACUGCCGGGCUAGAGUCCGGAAGAGGCGAGUGGAAUUCCUGGUGUAGCGGUGGAAUGCGCAGAUAUCAGGAGGAACACCAAUAGCGAAGGCAGCUCGCUGGGACGGUACUGACGCUAAGGCGCGAAAGCGUGGGGAGCGAACAGG
rnacentral:rRNA from 1 species